CUGAAAAACAACUGUUACCAUGGCCCAGAGCUGCUCAAAGUGGAUCCUUUGCUCUUGUCAAACAGAACCUUCAUAAAUCUGCCAUUUGGGUGAGCAUGGUGGGGCCAGCUUUUUGUGAGGUGAAACUCCAAACCAGCUUCCAUUCUCGGGAUUGGUAUGUAGUUUUUUCAUGUUGCCUAAGAGGCUCAGGAAGGGAACUUGAGGUAUUUGUUUUUUCAUGCCUGCAAAGGCCAUUUCCUAAGAGGUGAGAAGCAUAUAUGCAUGCCUGCAAGUACCUGUGAACGUGGGCCACUGAGAGUCUCUGGGGCAAGAGCCCUUCAGGGGAAUCUGGUAUCUAUUCAUUAUGCAAAACUUCAUUCUAGCUAGAACAGGGCCUGGGCUACACUUAAAGCUUAAAGGGAUGUCUGUUAAACCAUGUUUCCUGUUUCCUGUAGAACUUACCACACUAGUACUGAAAGUGUCAUAGCUCAGAGUGGAAGGUUAACGCGUAAGAAAGGGACAGUAUUGGCAGAAGGCAAGUGGUGUGACCACUUCCUUCUCCACCCUCUUCUCCCAUCCCUUGCCUCCCUGGAAAAGCUGGUUUCCUCAGGAGUCACUCCUUCAGCAGCCGCACAAGGCACACGCCUCGGGGAAGCCGGGCACAGGCUGGGGUUGCCUCCCUCCUGCCCCUGCCCUGCCUCCUGCCCCAGCAGACAGUGAAUAAGCCACCUGGUUGGCCCAGCUUCCCGCAGUCCCACUUCUCAAGCUAGGGUACAUGUAUCUAGGAGGACAGGACUGUGUCGCUGGGAGGUAGAGUGAGACGGAUGACAGGAGCCACAGAAUCAAAACAGCACAAUCGACUCAUCAGUUCUUUAACUUACUUCAUCUAUCUCACUGAAUGGUGGUGUUGGGUCACCUGGGGUCAGAAAACCAGUGCAAAAAUGCUGCCACUCUGGCUGUUACUAUUACUGGAAGUGAAGAAACUGUCCUUCUUCUCUGACCCAGGAGCCUCAUGUCUUCUACCAACAUCCGUGAAAUUUUGGCAUGUGUGAUUAUUACCUGCACAUGAGAUAAGAUCUCAGUUCUUGAUGGUAUGGAAUGCUGCAGGGAGAGGAAGUGUGCGUGCACAGGCCCAGAGGCCUAGGGGAGCCCAGCCUGCUCUCGGAACUGCCAGGAGAGCAGAUGACUGUGGCACACCCUUGCUGUGUGGGGUGGCAAGCAGCCUCUUCCUUCAGGCUUCUGCCCAAAUGUGAUCUCAUUAGAAUGGCCUUCCUUAACCAUCCCAGCUGACACAGAAUCCCACAUCACUCCCUGUCUCCUAUCUUGCUUUUCUGUCUUUCACAUGUAUACCACAUCAUCUCAUAUAUUUGUUUGUUUGUUGUCUGUACUUCCCUACAAAAUGGCAAAUCCCAUCGGCGAAGGAACUUUGUUUCAUUCACUGCUGUAAUUAAUUCUACCACUUAGGACAGUGCCCCGCAUAGAGAGAUGAGGCUGUCAGGACAGGCAAGCCUGGUUUGCAUCAUGGGUUACAGCCUGUAAGCCAUGCCAGGAGCCUGGGUGAAUCCUGGGAGGUUUAGAAAUUCUUUUAAGUAUUCUAUGAUUUGCAUUUUAGGGCCAUGAUCCCUUCAGCAGCUGGCAAGUUCAUUGAAGGGAGGGCAAGACCACAGGAGUCUGG
rnacentral:lncRNA from 1 species